AACGAACGCUGGCGGCGCGCCUAAUACAUGCAAGUCGAGCGAGAAGACGUAGCAAUACGUUUGUAAAGCGGCGAACGGGUGAGGAAUACAUGGGUAACCUACCCUCGAGUGGGGAAUAACUAGCCGAAAGGUUAGCUAAUACCGCGUACGCUCCUUGGACUUCGGUUCAGGGAGGAAAGCGAUACCGUGGGUAUCGCGCUCUUGGAUGGGCUCAUGUCCUAUCAGCUUGUUGGUGAGGUAACGGCUCACCAAGGCUUCGACGGGUAGCUGGUCUGAGAGGACAAUCAGCCACACUGGCACUGCGACACGGGCCAGACUCCUACGGGAGGCAGCAGUAAGGAAUAUUGCGCAAUGGGCGAAAGCCUGACGCAGCGACGCCGCGUGGGGGAUGAAGGUCUUCGGAUUGUAAACCCCUUUCGGGUAGGGAAGAUGGAACGAGCAAUCGUUCGGACGGUACCUCCAGAAGCAGCCACGGCUAACUUCGUGCCAGCCGCCGCAGUAAU
rnacentral:rRNA from 1 species